rnacentral:rRNA from 1 species
UACGUAGGGUGCGAGCGUUAAUCGGAAUUACUGGGCGUAAAGCGUGCGCAGGCGGUUUUGUAAGCCAGAUGUGAAAUCCUCGGGCUUAACCUGGGAAUGGCAUUUGGGACUGCAAGGCUGGAGUGCGGCAGAGGAGACUGGAAUUCCUGGUGUAGCAGUGAAAUGCGUAGAUAUCAGGAGGAAUACCGAUGGCGAAGGCAGGUCUCUGGGCUGACACUGACGCUCAUGCACGAAAGCGUGGGGAGCAAACAGG